rnacentral:rRNA from 1 species
GACGAACGCGGGCGGCGUGCCUAAUACAUGCAAGUAGAACGCUGAAGAGAGGAGCUUGCUCUUCUAGGAUGAGUUGCGAACGGGUGAGUAACGCGUAGGUAACCUGCCUUGUAGCGGGGGAUAACUAUAGGAAACGAUAGCUAAUACCGCAUAACAAUGGGUGACACAUGUCAUUUAUUUGAAAGGGGCAACUGCUCCACUACAAGAUGGACCUGCGUUGUAUUAGCUAGUAGGUGAGGUAACGGCUCACCUAGGCGACGAUACAUAGCCGACCUGAGAGGGUGAUCGGCCACACUGGGACUGAGACACGGCCCAGACUCCUACGGGAGGCAGCAGUAGGGAAUCUUCGGCAAUGGGGGCAACCCUGACCGAGCAACGCCGCGUGAGUGAAGAAGGUUUUCGGAUCGUAAAGCUCCGUUGUAAGUCAAGAACGAGUGUGAGAGUGGAAAGUUCACACUGCGACGGUAGCUUACCAGAAAGGGACGGCUAACUACGUGCCAGCAGCCGCGGUAAUACGUAGGUCCCGAGCGUUGUCCGGAUUUAUUGGGCGUAAAGCGAGCGCAGGCGGUUUGAUAAGUCUGAAGUUAAAGGCUGUGGCUCAACCAUAGUUCGCUUUGGAAACUGUCAAACUUGAGUGCAGAAGGGGAGAGUGGAAUUCCAUGUGUAGCGGUGAAAUGCGUAGAUAUAUGGAGGAACACCGGUGGCGAAAGCGGCUCUCUGGUCUGUAACUGACGCUGAGGCUCGAAAGCGUGGGGAGCGAACAGG